rnacentral:rRNA from 1 species
AUUGAACGCUGGCGGCAGGCCUAACACAUGCAAGUCGAGCGGAGCGGCGGAAGGGUGAGUAAUGCCUAGGAAUCUGCCUGGUAGUGGGGGAUAACGACCGGCAACGGGCGCUAAUACCGCAUACUAUAAAAACAGCCUAGGUCGGAUUAGCUAGUUGGUGGGGUAAAGGCAUCAAAAGGCGACGAUCCGUAACUGGUCUGAGAGGAUGAUCAGUCACACCGGACUUGAGACCCGGUCCAGACUCCUACGGGAGGCAGCAGUGGGGAAUAUUGGACAAUGGGCGAAAGCCUGCUCCAGCCAUGCCGCGUGUGUGAAGAAGGUCUUCGGAUUGUAAAGCACUUUAAGUUGGGAGGCGUUACCAACAGAAUAAGCACCGGCUAACUUCGUGCCAGCAGCCGCGGUAAUUC